GGGCCUUUCCGCGGGGGAGGAUUCUUGGUGUGCGUGAGGAGUGCCGUAUCCGUGAGCAGGAUUUCGGCAAUUUCCAGGUUGAGGAGCGGAUGAAGGCAAUCAAGGUGUCACGUGAGAGAUUUGGCCGAUUCUUCUUCCGCUUUCCUGACGGUGAGUCUGCGGCUGAUGUCUUCGACCGCGUUGCAAGCUUCCUUGAGUCAUUGUGGAGGGACAUUGACAUGAGCAGGCUGAACCAGGACGAGAGCUCGGACACCAACCUGAUAAUGGUAACACACGGUCUGACCUCCCGAGUAUUUUUCAUGAAGUGGUUCAAGUGGACUGUGGAUCAGUUCGAGAGGC
rnacentral:misc_RNA from 1 species